GCUUGUGGUUGAGCCUAGCAGAAGUAGAAAAGUUGUUCCUGUAGCUUUAAGACGCAGGUUAGCUUUCUGUAAGCGAUGGUUGUUGGGUUUACUGUCUGUAGAAGCAGUACAGUGGCAAUAAAGGAGGUUCUCUUCCUGUUCUUCUUCAUGAAAAAAGUUCACUGGACUCCUGUAAGCUAAUCUGUGGUUUGAUUUGUGAUGAAAAAAUUGCAUUGAUGUUUCUCAUAAGGGAUAAUUCAAUGAACACAUGUCCUCACUUCAGGCUGUGGCUGGUGUUUGAUGUUGUUGUUUCACCAGUUUCCUGGUGUUUCUACACAUGAGGGGAAAUCGACAAUUUGUGUGGCUUUAGCUAUGGUUGAUGGUGAAAUGAAACUCGCUUCUUCCUCACUCAUCUUGACAUUAGGAAAACCACACAAACAAUAAGGAGCAGAAGUUGCACAAAUGUCAUCCAGUUGUUGA